CGAUAUAUUACAGGGGGACUUGCACUGUGUAAAUAUUCCAAUCCUUUUGCUGCUCCGGCAGCAAUUUUCAUUCUUGUGUUCCAAUCUAGCCGUUCCUUACCUGGCGUAGGAUCAUGAAGAUGGUCCUCCAAUGAUCCUAAUGGCAUAUAUUCGUAGACCAGAAGUCUCUGAUCUCCAUCAGCACAAUAGCCAAUUAGAUUUACAAGGUUAGGAUGGUGUAACAGACUUAACAUCAGCACUUCGACAAGAAAUUCCCUGUUGCCCUGCAAUCCAUUACGAUCUAGUUGCUUGAUGGCGACGACCUGAUUGGACUCGAUCACCCCUUUGUAAACUCUACCAAAGCCUCCUUCUCCAAGAAGAUAAUCACCUCGGAAAUUUUUUGUUGCAGCUGCUAAAUCACGAAAUAUAAAAGUCUUGGCUGCAAUUUGGUUGGACCCUGCAUCCUUAUCAACUUCCUUUGAGCGUAAUGAAUUCUUUGAUUUCAACUUAUCAGUAGAGUGCCGGCCCGAAUCGACUGAAUUUUUCUUCUUUGAGGUCUGUUUGGAUGGUCCAGAACAAGGAAACCAACCCAUUUUCUUCUCCUUUACAACUUGAGAGAGGCGAAGUUUUUGCACAGCUGAUUAGCUGUCUACAAAAGUGAAGACGG
rnacentral:misc_RNA from 1 species